AGCUCAGCUGGGAGAGCGCCUGCUUUGCACGCAGGAGGUCUGCGGUUCGAUCCCGCA
rnacentral:tRNA from 1 species